rnacentral:rRNA from 1 species
GCAAUGCCGCGUGAGUGAAGAAGGCCUUCGGGUUGUAAAGCUCUUUUGUCAGGGAAGAAAAGGCUACGGAUAAUACCUGUGGCUCAUGACGGUACCUGAAGAAUAAGCACCGGCUAACUACGUGCCAGCAGCCGCGGUAAUACGUAGGGUGCAAGCGUUAAUCGGAAUUACUGGGCGUAAAGCGUGCGCAGGCGGUUUUGUAAGACUGUCGUGAAAUCCCCGGGCUCAACCUGGGAAUGGCGAUGGUGACUGCAAGGCUAGAGUUUGGCAGAGGGGGGUAGAAUUCCACGUGUAGCAGUGAAAUGCGUAGAUAUGUGGAGGAACACCGAUGGCGAAGGCAGCCCCCUGGGUCAAAACUGACGCUCAUGCACGAAAGCGUGGGGAGCAAACAGGAUUAGAUACCCUGGUAGUCCACGCCCUAAACGAUGUCUACUAGUUGUCGGGUCUUAAUUGACUUGGUAACGCAGCUAACGCGUGAAGUAGACCGCCUGGGGAGUACGGUCGCAAGAUUAAAACUCAAAGGAAUUGACGGGGACCCGCACAAGCGGUGGAUGAUGUGGAUUAAUUCGAUGCAACGCGAAAAACCUUACCUACCCUUGACAUGGAUGGAAUCCUCGAGAGAUUU